CCCUUAGAUGUCCUGGGCCGCACGCGCGCUACACUGAACGGAUCAGCGCGUUUUCCCUUCCCGAGAGGGACGGGUAACCUGCUGAACCCCGUUCGUGGUAGGGAUCGGGGCUUGCAAUUAUUCCCCGUGAACCAGGAAUGCCCAGUAAGUGCAAGUCAUAAGCUUGCGUUGAUUACGUCCCUGCCCUUUGUACACACCGCCCGUCGCUACUACCGAUUGAAUGGUUUAGUGAGAUCCUCGGAUUGGCCAUCUCGGCGUGACUUCGGUUGUGCACGUGGUGGCCGAGACGACGAUCAAACUUGAUCAUUUAGAGGAAGUAAAAGUCGUAACA
rnacentral:rRNA from 1 species